CAGCGCUCCUGCUGGGUGUGGUGGUGGCCUUCUGGGCGCUGGUGGAGGACUGGCGAGGGUUCCCCUACGAGCCCUCGCCUUCCCCGUGCCUCUUCCGGCCCUGCGUCCCCCUCCGGCUCAGCCGGCCACAGCCCAUCACCCUCCCGCCUCUCCAGACCACAGCCUCCCGCAUCUCUUGGAGGCCCCCCCGUCUGGACAGGGCAAGGCAACCUUUUGUCCUGGCCAAUCCACCUCGUCAGGUCCCCACCCUCCGCCUCUCUCCUGCCUGUCAUCCUCCUCGCCCUAUGUCCUCCAACCCCUUCUCUCCCAAUCGGCUGCAUCCUGUCCCCAUCUCACCUGCCCCCUUUUAUUCUGCUGUCUUCUCUCCUGGCCCUUUCUGUCCUCCUGCCCUUCCAAAUCCCCUCCCUUCUGCCCGCAUGCAUCCUCUCCCUAUUUCUCCUGUCCCCUUCUCUCCUGCCCCUUUCUCUUCUGCCCCCAUGCAAACUCUUCCUAUCUCUCCUGCCCAUCCAAAUCCCCUCCCCAUGCCUACUGCCCCCUUUCCUCCUGCCCUUCAGAAUCCCCUCCUCAUGUCUUCUGUCCCCUUUCCUCCUGCCCCUACAAGGCCUCCCGGGGUGUCUUCCACCCUAACCCAUCCUUCCCCCAACCCUCCUCCCUCCCUCCCCAGAAAGCGGAAGCGCGAGGAAGACAGCACCACUUCCACCGCCCCCCAGAAGACCCAGCCGAGGGACAGCACAUCGGGGAAGAGGAAGGCUAAAGUCAAGUGGUUGGCUCCAUCAUCUUUCCACUUUGGUUUAUCAAAACAGGCAUGCUCAGCUCCUCCAGGUACAGCCUUGGGCAGGGGAGCUGGGGUCAGGGUUAGGGUCUCCAUCCACUCGGCCCCUUCCUAGGGACCAACCCCAGGAGGUUCGUUAGUUUGCUGGUUCAUUGGUUUCCAUUGGUAGACUUGGGCCUCUUCUUUCCAUAACAGCUGUUCCAGCCUCCGGGGAGGAGCCAAUGGACUAAGGGCUGCGGAGGGCUGCUCCCUAUCAGGGCAGGGGGGGCAGAGGGAAUUGUGCCCUCCACCUCCACCCCUGUCCCCUUCCAGAGGAGAAAGCGGGGCAGGGUGGGUAGGUCGGGGAGGGGGAGAGCGAGCCCGGCU
rnacentral:lncRNA from 1 species